CAUUUUCAUCAAACGCACCUCAUCUCGGCUGAUUUCAUUUGAUGUCUUAAAAGUAUCAUCAUCCUGAUAAGGAGGGAGAUGAGCAUCUCGAUAGGAACAGACUCGCCCUUCGGUUACAGCACUGGUGACACCUUCCCAGCUGAGGAGCUCCUGGGAGGAGCGGCGUGUGGUGAGGCAGAGCAGCUUCUGCUGUGGCUCCAGCUGAGGGUAUGCAGCUGGAUCUGAUCUUAAGAAGGUGGUGGCAGAAGGUGGCACAUUGUCAACCCAGUCAGAAGUCAACUCUGUCAACUGUACAGAUUACGACACUCAUCUGCAUAGCAGUUUCUGGAAUCCCUAAGGACUCCAUAUCUAACUGUAGCCGGCAAAUACAAUUCCUUCCCUCAGUCCCUGAACCUCAGUAACUGUUUUUCCAAGCACCCGGAAGGCAAGAACAGAGCUUCCAAAAGGUCUCAUGUUAUGUAAAGUUGGAGGAGGUCUCCUCUGUUCCACAAAGGCAGCACUGGAGACACAUAAAGGCAUCUUCAGAAACUGCAGGGUUGGCCGUGCAGCCAGGUGGGAUGCCAGGUGACUAUCUUUUUAAAAGUUGUCAUAGGUAAAAGAGGGGAGAGGAAGAGAACUACAUCUCAGCUUCAGUUGCACCUUCAACCUGACGUGCAUGAGACUUUGAAAAGUAUGAUUUACUGAUGGCAGUGUCAGAACCCGCAGCCGCUUCCAUCGUCUGCCAAGAACAACGUACAGCUUAGGCCCUGUAAGUGACUAUCACACAGUCACCAGCUUCAGGAAGCUGAACCUGCUUCCCCUGACCACGAUCGGCCCAUGGAGACAUCUCACCAAGCGAUCAUUUAACCUUCUGGUUGUUUGCCAGCUGCCAGAGAAGUUCUUUGUUGCACAGUAGGACUAUGGGGCUCUGUAACUAAGCAGGUUCUAUAACUGGUCUUAAAAAGAACUUGAAUGGGUGAAAUGUGGUGGGUUCGUUCGACAUCUGGAAGUACUCUCACGGCUGUCUUCGCUUGCUCUCAGGACAGUGAACAGCUAGGCUGCAUGAUUUCUUGCUGUUCAUACAAGGAGUACCAGGUAGCAUCAUUUUACCAUGCACCGCCUGGAUUUACAGUAUGCUGUUUCAGAGUGUGGUGAUGAAAUACCAGCUACACCGAAGAGCCGGGGCAUUCUCAGAGCAACAUGAGUUGAAGAAAUGGCUGCAAAAAAACAAAGCGCUUCCAAUUAAAUAUGUGAAAAAGAGCAAACAAACAGCUGUUUGGAUACCUUCCUGUAGCUCAGGCUGCAACAGGGGAGCUUCAGAUUGGACAUCAGGAGAAAAUUUUCACUGAAGGGGUCAUUGUGCACUGGCAGAGGCUGCCCAGGGAGGUGGUGGAGUCACCAACCCUGGAGGGGUUUGAAAGAUGGGUAGAGGAGGUACUUAAGGAUAUGGUUUAGUGGCAGACAGAUAUGGUUUAGUGGCAGAUAUGGUUUAGUGGCAGACAGGUAUGGUUGGCCUCGAUGAUCUCAGAGAUGUUUUCCAAGCUGUUGAUUCUAUAGCAAAUGGCCAGGGGGUUAUGCAGAAGGCCCUCAAAGAUGCUGAUUGUGUCUUUCUUAAAGUCAGGUUUUAAAUGUGUGUGUGUGUGUGUGUAGGGUAGCGUUUAUCAGCGAAACAAAUAAAUACAGGAUAAAAGUGGUGAUAUUCUUUCUCUGCAGGUAUUUCAGGGGGGAAAAUCAUUUUAAUAGAUGUGCUGCACUGACACAGCGUGCAGCCUGCGAGGUUGGCGGUGGCACUGCGGGGAUGACUGGCAUCAUCUCGGAGCAACUUUCCGCUCGCAUGCAUCAUUCAUAGGAAUAUCAGCUCUGAUUGUCAUGGAUAAAAGGUUGGUUUAAAACUCUGACUCUUUGCUAGACGCUGCUAGAACAAAUUCAGGAGCAGAGUGUUUAAUAAUUAUGUACUCUUGGAUAAAGUACCAAAGUUAAAUCAGUGCCCUGGAGGAUAUUGGAGCACAGGAAACGUACCAGGGGGAUAAAGCAAGCUUCCAGAAGGACCUGACCUUCACAGCUGUGUGCUGAACCCCCUGCUGAGGCAGGCUGGUGGUCACACAGAACCGGGGCGAUGACCCUCCGUUGGUUUCACCCUUUCUAGUUUAAUUGGUGACCAGGAGAUGGCAGUCUCCAUGCUGCAUGGCCAAGAUCUAAACUAGCAGAGCCUUCCUAUGUAUCUGUGAAGAGUUACAACAUUCCAUCCUGAGCUUGUUUUCUCCUGAAGGAGCUAAAAUAAGCAGAUGUGUUGGUGGUGUGUGCUCAUCCUAACGUUUGCUGGAGACCUUGCCGUACUGUCAAACACAACAGGCUGCACCAGGGUCACGAGGAAUUUCUUCCAGUAAUUCCUCCUGACGUGGAAGUAAUGUCUCAGGAUCUCAUGACCUAUGCUAUGAACUUAACUCAUAUCAUUACUGAAAGAAGUUUGUUUGUAGAGAUUUUCUGUGUAUUUACUAUUCCAAACAAAGGAAAUUCUUUGCCAUUUUCUUUCAUUGCAACAUUAUCUUGGAAGAUUCCUUUGUAUAUUUUUACUUUCUUUUUGUUUGUGUUCUCUAUGAGGAACAGAAGAGAUUUCCAAACAAUAUCUGAACCAGGCUUUUCCUUCUCAAUGUGACAUGCUGGUCUCAAAGCACUCUCAUGUAUGUGCUCCUGGGACUGUACUGCUAAGCUAGAAUCCUUCAGAAGUGGCCACAGACUCAGGGCUCAUGAGUUUUGGGCUGUCCAACAUGAUACAAAUGGCUUGGGUUAUCAGAUGAUUCAGUAAUUAUUCAUGUUUUUAGCAUUAACUUCACUAAAACCUCCUAAAGAUAACUAUUUCAAUUUGAAAAAAAU